rnacentral:rRNA from 1 species
CCUACGGGAGGCAGCAGUGGGGAAUAUUGGGCAAUGGGCGCAAGCCUGACCCAGCAACGCCGCGUGAAGGAAGAAGGCUUUCGGGUUGUAAACUUCUUUUCUCAGGGACGAAGCAAGUGACGGUACCUGAGGAAUAAGCCACGGCUAACUACGUGCCAGCAGCCGCGGUAAUACGUAGGUGGCAAGCGUUAUCCGGAUUUACUGGGUGUAAAGGGCGUGUAGGCGGGAAAGCAAGUCAGAUGUGAAAACCAUGGGCUCAACCUGUGGCCUGCAUUUGAAACUGUUUUUCUUGAGUACUGGAGAGGCAGACGGAAUUCCUAGUGUAGCGGUGAAAUGCGUAGAUAUUAGGAGGAACACCAGUGGCGAAGGCGGUCUGCUGGACAGCAACUGACGCUGAGGCGCGAAAGCGUGGGGAGCAAACAGGAUUAGAUACCCCAGUAGUC